rnacentral:rRNA from 1 species
ACGAACGCUGGCGGCGUGCUUAACACAUGCAAGUCGAACGGAAAGGCCCUGCUUUUGUGGGGUGCUCGAGUGGCGAACGGGUGAGUAACGCGUGAGUAACCUGCCCUUGACUUUGGGAUAACUUCAGGAAACUGGGGCUAAUACCGGAUAGGAGCUCCUGCUGCAUGGUGGGGGUUGGAAAGUUUCGGCGGUUGGGGAUGGACUCGCGGCUUAUCAGCUUGUUGGUGGGGUAGUGGCUUACCAAGGCUUUGACGGGUAGCCGGCCUGAGAGGGUGACCGGCCACAUUGGGACUGAGAUACGGCCCAGACUCCUACGGGAGGCAGCAGUGGGGAAUAUUGCACAAUGGGCGGAAGCCUGAUGCAGCAACGCCGCGUGCGGGAGGACGGCCUUCGGGUUGUAAACCGCUUUCGCCUGUGACGAAGCGUGAGUGACGGGAAUGGGGAAAGAAGCACCGGCGAACUACGU